UACGUAGGGUGCGAGCGUUAAUCGGAAUUACUGGGCGUAAAGCGUGCGCAGGCGGUUCGUUAUGUCCGAUGUGAAAGCCCCGAGCUCAACUUGGGAAUGGCAUUGGAAACUGGCGGGCUUGAGUGCGGCAGAGGAGGGUGGAAUUCCGCGUGUAGCAGUGAAAUGCGUAGAGAUGCGGAGGAACACCGAUGGCGAAGGCAGCCCUCUGGGCCAACACUGACGCUCAGGCACGAAAGCGUGGGGAGCAAACAGG
rnacentral:rRNA from 1 species